rnacentral:rRNA from 1 species
GACGAACGCUGGCGGCGUGCUUAACACAUGCAAGUCGAACGGAAAGGCCCUGCUUUUGUGGGGUGCUCGAGUGGCGAACGGGUGAGUAACACGUGAGUAACCUGCCCUUGACUUUGGGAUAACUUCAGGAAACUGGGGCUAAUACCGGAUAGGAGCUCCUGCUGCAUGGUGGGGUUGGGAAGUUUCGGCCGUUGGGGAUUGACUCGCGGGUUAUCGGCUUAGUUGGGGGGUAGUGGCAUACCAAGGCUUUGACGGGUAGCCGGCCUGAGAGGGGGACCGGCGACCUUGGGACUGAGAGACGGCGCAGACUCCUACGGGAGGCAGCAGUGGGGAAUAUUGCACAAUGGGCGGAAGCCUGAUGCAGCAACGCCGCGUGCGGGAUGACGGCCUUCGGGUAGUAAACCGCUGUCGCCUGUGACGAAGCGUGAGUGACGGUAAUGGGUAAAGAAGCACCGGCUAACUACGUG